rnacentral:rRNA from 1 species
UACGUAGGGUGCGAGCGUUGUCCGGAAUUAUUGGGCGUAAAGAGCUCGUAGGCGGCCUGUCGCGUCGGAUGUGAAAGCUGGGGCUCAACCCCAGUCCUGCUUCCGAUACGGGUGGACUAGAGGUAGGCAGGGGAGAACGGAAUUCCUGGUGUAGCGGUGAAAUGCGCAGAUAUCAGGAGGAACACCGGUGGCGAAGGCGGUUCUCUGGGCCUUACCUGACGCUGAGGAGCGAAAGCGUGGGGAGCAAACAGG